rnacentral:rRNA from 1 species
UACAGAGGGUGCGAGCGUUAAUCGGAAUUACUGGGCGUAAAGCGCGCGUAGGCGGCUUUGCAAGUCGGAUGUGAAAUCCCCAGGCUCAACUUGGGAACUGCGUCCGAUACUGGAUGGCUUGAAUCCGGGAGAGGGAUGCGGAAUUCCAGGUGUAGCGGUGAAAUGCGUAGAUAUCUGGAGGAACACCGGUGGCGAAGGCGGCAUCCUGGACCGGUAUUGACGCUGAGGCGCGGAAAGCCAGGGAGCAAAGCGGG